AGAGUUUGAUCAUGGCUCAGAUUGAACGCUGGCGGCAGGCCUAACACAUGCAAGUCGAACGGUAACAGGAAACAGCUUGCUGUUUCGCUGACGAGUGGCGGACGGGUGAGUAAUGUCUGGGAAACUGCCUGAUGGAGGGGGAUAACUACUGGAAACGGUAGCUAAUACCGCAUAACGUCGCAAGACCAAAGAGGGGGACCUUCGGGCCUCUUGCCAUCAGAUGUGCCCAGAUGGGAUUAGCUAGUAGGUGGGGUAACGGCUCACCUAGGCGACGAUCCCUAGCUGGUCUGAGAGGAUGACCAGCCACACUGGAACUGAGACACGGUCCAGACUCCUACGGGAGGCAGCAGUGGGGAAUAUUGCACAAUGGGCGCAAGCCUGAUGCAGCCAUGCCGCGUGUAUGAAGAAGGCCUUCGGGUUGUAAAGUACUUUCAGCGGGGAGGAAGGGAGUAAAGUUAAUACCUUUGCUCAUUGACGUUACCCGCAGAAGAAGCACCGGCUAACUCCGUGCCAGCAGCCGCGGUAAUACGGAGGGUGCAAGCGUUAAUCGGAAUUACUGGGCGUAAAGCGCACGCAGGCGGUUUGUUAAGUCAGAUGUGAAAUCCCCGGGCUCAACCUGGGAACUGCAUCUGAUACUGGCAAGCUUGAGUCUCGUAGAGGGGGGUAGAAUUCCAGGUGUAGCGGUGAAAUGCGUAGAGAUCUGGAGGAAUACCGGUGGCGAAGGCGGCCCCCUGGACAAAGACUGACGCUUAGGUGCGAAAGCGUGGGGAGCAAACAGGAUUAGAUACCCUGGUAGUCCACGCCGUAAACGAUGUCGACUUGGAGGUUGUGCCCUUGAGGCGUGGCUUCCGGAGCUAACGCGUUAAGUCGACCGCCUGGGGAGUACGGCCGCAAGGUUAAAACUCAAAUGAAUUGACGGGGGCCCGCACAAGCGGUGGAGCAUGUGGUUUAAUUCGAUGCAACGCGAAGAACCUUACCUGGUCUUGACAUCCACGGAAGUUUUCAGAGAUGAGAAUGUGCCUUCGGGAACCGUGAGACAGGUGCUGCAUGGCUGUCGUCAGCUCGUGUUGUGAAAUGUUGGGUUAAGUCCCGCAACGAGCGCAACCCUUAUCCUUUGUUGCCAGCGGUCCGGCCGGGAACUCAAAGGAGACUGCCAGUGAUAAACUGGAGGAAGGUGGGGAUGACGUCAAGUCAUCAUGACCCUUACGACCAGGGCUACACACGUGCUACAAUGGCGCAUACAAAGAGAAGCGACCUCGCGAGAGCAAGCGGACCUCAUAAAGUGCGUCGUAGUCCGGAUUGGAGUCUGCAACUCGACUCCAUGAAGUCGGAAUCGCUAGUAAUCGUGGAUCAGAAUGCCACGGUGAAUACGUUCCCGGGCCUUGUACACACCGCCCGUCACACCAUGGGAGUGGGUUGCAAAAGAAGUAGGUAGCUUAACCUUCGGGAGGGCGCUUACCACUUUGUGAUUCAUGACUGGGGUGAAGUCGUAACAAGGUAACCGUAGGGGAACCUGCGGUUG
rnacentral:rRNA from 1 species